rnacentral:rRNA from 1 species
GAUGAACGCUGGCGGCGUGCCUAAUACAUGCAAGUCGAGCGAACAGAUGAGGAGCUUGCUCCUCUGACGUUAGCGGCGGACGGGUGAGUAACACGUGGAUAACCUACCUAUAAGACUGGGAUAACUUCGGGAAACCGGAUCUAAUACCGGCUAAUAUAUUGAACCGCAUGUUUCAAUAGUGAAAGACGGUUUUGCUUGCACUUAUGUAUGGAGCCGCGGCGCAUUAGCUAGUUGGUAAGGUAACGGCGCACCAAGGCAACGAUGCAUAGCCGACCUGAGAGGGUGCACGGCCACAAGGGGACGGAGAAAGGGCGCUGACGCCUAAGGGAGGAAGCAGUGGGGAAUAAUGGACAAUGGACCAAGAGUCUGAUACAGUAAUUCUGUGUGCACGAUGAAGUUUUUCGGAAUGUAAAGUGCUUUAAGUUGGGAAGAAAAAAAUGACGGUACCAACAGAAGAAGUGACGGCUAAAUACGU